GACGAACGCUGGCGGCGUGCUUAACACAUGCAAGUCGAACGAUGAACCGGUUUCGUCCGGUGAUUAGUGUCGAACGGGUGCGUAACAGGUGCGCAAUCUGCCCUGCACUCUGGGAUAAGCCCGGGUAACUGGGUCUAAUACCGGUUACGACACUCCUAUUCAUCUUGGGGUUUGAAAGGUUCCGGCGGUUCAGGAUGAGCCUGCGGCCUAUCAGCUUGUUGGUGGGGUAAUGGCCUACCAAGGCGACGACGGGUAGCCAGCCUGAGAGGGUGACCGGCCACAAUGGGACUGAGACACGGACCAGACGCCUACGGGAGGCAGCAGUGGGGAAUAUUGCAGAAUGGGCGAAAGCCUGAUGCAGAGACGCCGCGUGAGGGAUAACGGCCUUCGGGUUGUAAACAUAUGUCAGCAGGGAAGAAGAGAUAGUGACGGUACCUGCAGAAGAAGCACCGGCUAACUACGUG
rnacentral:rRNA from 1 species